AUUUUUCCCUUUUACUGCCUGAUCACCUGUUUUUGGACCCUGUCUGCCUGUUUUUUGGACUCUGGAUUCCCUGCCUGCUCCUUGUCGGAUUUGUUUGCUGAUGCAUCUUCAAAAUCAACCCAGAUCAAGGGACCAAAGUGAAGAGAAAAGAAAAGGGACGCCAGUAUGCGGUCAACCCAAGGGUGCUGAGCCUCAUCUCCAAAAUUGCCAAUUUUGAAUGGACAGAGUAACAGGACACCAGUACGAUCCAAUGGCUGGCCCAGGACAUGAGCUUGAAGUCAGUGACAUAACAGCAGACCGGGACAUGAAGAAUCUGUGUAGCAAAAAGCGCUGUACUUUUACAGUCAUAUAAACAAAGGAAACUUGCCAGCUACUCUUCUUUUUUUUCUACCAAAGUUUAUUCUAUUGUUAAAUUUAGCAAAUUGUUUC